UGGGGAAUAUUGCACAAUGGGCGCAAGCCUGAUGCAGCCAUGCCGCGUGUGUGAAGAAGGCCUUCGGGUUGUAAAGCACUUUCAGCGGGGAGGAAGGCGUUAAGGUUAAUAACCUUGGCGAUUGACGUUACCGACAGAAGAAGCACCGGCUAACUCCGUGCCAGCAGCCGCGGUAAUACGGAGGGUGCAAGCGUUAAUCGGAAUUACUGGGCGUAAAGCGCACGCAGGCGGUUGAUUGAGUCAGAUGUGAAAUCCCCGGGCUUAACCCGGGAAUUGCAUCUGAUACUGGUCAGCUAGAGUCUUGUAGAGGGGGGUAGAAUUCCAUGUGUAGCGGUGAAAUGCGUAGAGAUGUGGAGGAAUACCGGUGGCGAAGGCGGCCCCCUGGACAAAGACUGACGCUCAGGUGCGAAAGCGUGGGGAGCAAACAGG
rnacentral:rRNA from 1 species